GCAGCCCGCGCCCCGCUCUUUGGGAGAGCUCUAGUGAAGCGAGUGCUGCCGCCACCUCGGCUUCUCGAGUAGAGCAAACCCCAAGUAACGAAUACAGGGGCCAUAGCAGUACACAGUAGGGCUGUGGGAGAUUCGCCUCCGUUGCGGGGGGACGCCGCCUUGGACUACAAGUCCCAUGGGCCCUUCUCCGAGGGGACGUGCUAGGGGCGGGGCUACGCGGCCGUGAUCGACAGAUAACGGCGCCCGCCGGCGGCCUUGGUCUGAUGCUGCCUGCCGCCGCCGGUGGCCCGACGGGCAGACGCACAGUCCGUGUUACUAACCCUGUUAAUUAACAUCGGGUGAGCAGAGAAUGGUUUUGAUGAAGGCAAAUGAGGAGGGAGGCUCGUCGUCGUCGUCGUCGUCGUCGUCUCCACCAGCGAGAUUUUAAAAAACCCUGGAACCUGAAGAGGUUGUCCCAGUGGUGGAUCCUAAUGGGACCCCCCAAAAUGGAGUGGAAAGGCUGGAAUAUCGUAGGAGGUGCUUAUCGGGACUGUGGCACGGAAUUCCUAAGCAAAGGAGGUUGGGUAAGGUGUAGAACUCCAGCAAAAGGUCCAUGAGCACCCACCUGAGUUUCUUGAAAGGAUUGUUUGAGCUUAUAGUACUUUGACAUCAACCCAGAUAGUCUGGAAAGUAGAUGAUUAACAUGACAUUCAUGUGUCAGAGCACUCGGAUAUAAGGAGGGAAUCAAUCAAGACCGAAGGUGCCUUAAAGAUGAGUUCUUCCCAGCUUUAGAGUUUACAGUGGCGGAGAGUCAAGGAGACUUAAAUCUGCAGAUAUUUUCAUAGAACACAGGACAGGGUUUAGGCAGCCCAGAGAAGGGAUUUGGAGAAGUAGAAGGGAACCCUUGGAAGAUGGUGUGUCAGUGGUCAUGAAAAUCUUUCCAGAAACCCUGUGGGUUUUGCCUUGUGCUGGUAAAUAUCAGUCUCAAUGCAUUAGACCUUGGUUGAUGCAACAGAGGACACACCCAGCCUGCGGAGCCCAUGUUUACCUACGGAAUUUCCUGGUCACCCCAGCUGACACUUGCCCCAGUUCUGAUAGAGGGGGUGACUAUACAAAAGAAGUUCAGUUUUCAGACUCCAGAAUUUGCUUUUGCCUUUUGCUAUGAGCCGAGGUGUGAGGCUGUCUGCUCUCAGUAUUGUGCAAAAGAUGCUACCUAAUCUCAUCCAAGCUGCAGCCCAAGAGGACAAGACAAAUGUUCAGCAUAGGGUUCAAAGAAAAUGGAAUUUUAAAAGUUAUAUUUGAAUGUCACGUAGGUAUUUUCCAACAUAAACGUAACUGAUAGCAUGUAUCUUGGGAUAUCUUUUCUCCUUAUUCCACACACCCUUUGCCCUCCUUAAUACAUUUUAAUUUCCUGAAAUUCAAGCAAAAGUGAAGUAGUUGCCGGGCUUCAAUUUUGAACGCUGCACCAGACAUAGAAAAAGAAUGCAGAAUCAAAAAAUACGGGCAAAGAGCUUUCAGCUUUGACUCAUAACUCCGUACCUUCUAGGGCCUCUCUGCCUCCAGAUUGCAUCCUUUCAUCCUGGUGAUCAGGGCUUAAGACCUGUCAGAGUGGAGAUACCCAAGCUCAACUCAUAGAAUGUCCUCGUAAUUAGGAUGUUUUUCUAACCACUCACACUUCUUUGAAAUUUGCAGGCAUAAAAGCCUUGGGUGCAUCCCUCUAGAGUGAAGAAAGUCCUGGAAGGUGAUGACCCAGAGACCAACAUCCAUUGGUCCUACCAACUUGAAGACAAGUUAUGCUUGUUUAAGAGAAAGACGAGCUUAAGUAUUCUCUUUUCUCUUUCAGUUUCUGUUGCCCAGAUGAACCCUGGAAACCCUGCGAUAAUCUAGGGUUAUGGUCCUCGACCGAAACUUUUUUCCUUUUUCCAAAGUCUGAGGUGUGUAGGAUGACUGCUGGAACCAUGUGACCUGAUUCUCCAGCUUUAAGUAUAAUUUUUUCUCUUCUAUCUGGGUUAUUGAGGUUGAGUACGUGAAGUCUUGUAAUGUCAGAUAAUGUGGGCGUUGGGAGAUUUAAAUUUUGUUUUGAAAGUUAAAGUCUCCAGUUAUAGAGUCAAAAUAAAAGGUUAUGGCUUAGCUGUCAGCACUGUGGUGAGUUUAGACAGUUUUCAUUACAAUUUAAAUGGACUUUCCCCCCCCUAAUACUAAUGCAAAACUCACUGAAAACCUAAAUUAGGGAAAUGGGUGGUCGACCUUCCUUGGAUUGAUCACAGGAAAUUUUAUGGAAUUUCAGUUAAGCUCCUGAGACACUAACCACAGAACUUAGGGGUAGGAAAACUUAAGCAGCGUCCUGUAAGCCUGAUCUGCUUGCCCUCGCUUAUCUUCUGCGAUCUUCCCAUGAGGCUCACUUGCUGUAAACUUGAUGUAGCGAUGGAAUGCUUCAAACAUAUGUAGGAUGCUGGUCUCUGUAUAUUCACGAUAACACAAGAAAUACUCAACUAGAACUCACUGUGUUGGAGGGUGAAGUAUGCCUGGCCUCCAAACUGACCACAAGACAGUGAGUCAAGAUUUCUUCAGUAAGUAAAGAAUCAUAGUAAAUGAUUGCUAAGGAACAUUUCCAUAAAUCUUUAACAGUAUUACAGCUUGUUCCAUUACAAUUUUAUCUUUGCACACAAUGUAACCUGAACUGUCUUUCCAUGGAUGGUUUUGAGGUACAUUAUAGCUGUGGACAAUGCUCACACUUCAGUUUUCCUUUGUUCAGAUUCUAAAUUCCCAUCUGUCAUUGUUGGAAUUUUCCCUUUGGUUACUUGACAUGUGACUGUGUGAUUUCUUCAUAUCGAAGAAACUGCUAUUUUGAAAGAAUCUCAUUCAUUUUAUUCCUGCUCAUAUUAUGGCAAGAUUCUAUUUCUGUAACUUUCAUCAAAUUCUGGGAAGGAACCCCAUUCAAGGCUUAAGCUGAAUUUCCAGAUUAUAGUCAAAAAAAGGCACUCACAGAUUGGAGGAGUUAGCACAGGUCAGGCUCUCAGUAUCUGUUGAGAUUUCUUGAUUUGGAAUCUCAGUAUCUGUGGACAAAAAAGACAACAGACUCAGAAUUUUAAAUACGACUGUCAAUGUUCGGUCACUGGGGAAAAUUCCCCCAUCCCUCUCAGCUCUUGAUCUGAACAAAAAAAAGGACCACCAGGCAGAUUAGUAAGAGAGACCAAUUUUUAUUAUAUAUGGAAAAUUCAUAACAUAAGGCUGUACACUCUAAAGUGCAUGGGACAGGGUUUAUAUCCUGGGCUAGGGAGUGGGGAAGGGACCUGGGGUGCCGAGGAGGGGAGAGUCAUAUGAUCAGAACUCGCCCUGCUUUAAGAUGAGCUUCACAGAAGCUUCUGUGGCCUACGUCUCGCCUCUGCUCUGGGCCUUAAUGGAUGUCAUCCAGCCCUGGUAACUCAGGAGUGGUUUACACAAAUGGGUUGUAGAGAAGGCGGUCGCUUCUGGGCCUCCUAGGGAGCCUGGUGUGGUUAUCAAUGGCCUUGUCUGCUGACCUCUGAGUUUACUGUUGCGGGGGAGACUUUGAAUGGCUCAGGAUGAGCCAGACAUGGGAAAGGGUUGAUUAGGAGAUCUGUGGCCCCAGGCGCUAAGUGGGUUGAGGGUAGCCUCAUCUUCUUACCCUUGGCUUGGUCCUGUCUGUCCCGUAACAGUGUCUCAACUGCAGGUAGAAUAUAAGGCGUCUUGACAAAGCUUGGGUCCCGUGUCUUCCGGAGACAGCAGGAUAGCUAAUGGUUAACGUUACUCAAGACCUGAGUAAGCUGAGGACUGUCCAGAGUUGAAAAGCCUGGGCCAGUUUCGAAGAAUCAAGGAUUAUGAGACCUUUGUCAAAUUACUGACUUCCUAUCUGAAGGAAGAAAAUAAUAAAAUUCUUUAAGUUAAAAAGCAUAGUUUUCUCUCUCAGAUAAAAAUAUUUCUGGAGAUGACACUACACCUGCGUCAUCUGUAUUUUAAGUAAUGGUGGCAAUUUCUCCUGAGGCUACUCCUCUGUUCACCUGGACUCUGCGUGCUAAGGUGACACAUCGGGAAAGCCUGUCUGAACAUUUUGGGGGAGGCUGAUCCUAUGCUACAGUGAAAGCCGUGCUGCAGAAAGAAGGAAGCGCCAACAUCUGCUAGUUUAACCGAGCAGGCUCUUCAAGCUAGCAUUUCCCCCUGUAAUCAACGAAAUGACAGGCACGCCAGUCACAGAGCAACAGGAUCAUUGUCAGCCUUUGCAAGUCUACUGAAGCGAGUCAGCCCAGCCCUGAAAGAAACAGCCGCCAGUCAGGGACGACGGUCCCCCUUGGGCUGGAGUCCUAGGCAGCAAGUUGUGUGUGCCUAAGAAGAGGUUUCCUGAUUCUGAAAGAAUGGCAGAUUACUCUAAGGCUGGAAGAGUGAGACGAGAUUUUUAAGGCAAUGGACUGUGACUGAGCCAUCUACCAAUGGCCCCUGCCAGGUCAAGCCCACACAAGCAGAGCACAGAGGCCGCCUCGUCCCACCAGAGCUGCACAGUUUUUAGAUUCUUAGCCUUAAUGUCAGAACUACCUCUGCCCUUGGGUGAAGUUGAUCUGCAUGGGACGCUUCUCCAAACUGCAGCCCGGCUCCUGUGAGAAGCUCCCAAGUACUUGCUGAGUGCAUAAACUUCCAUAUGCUGUGUUCAGCCCACAGUCUCCAGGGGGCUCGUGUCCAUGCUGGGUUCCCCAAAGUUCUGUUCUACUUCGUCCCGCACUUCUUUUUCUUCAAGGAUCCCAAGUCCGUGUCCACCCUAAGACCAAGUCUUUGCCCAUGACUGGAGCAGAAGUCUCCGUGGAGGCAAAUGUCACCCAAGAUCCUUCACCCUACUUAGGAGCCCAGCAUCUGGCAAGCAACUGGUCUCUGGAAAGACUACGCAUUUGUGAUGGAAGAUGUUUGAGCACUUCCCUGUGAGCAGGAUUUAGACUGAGGGUGCCUCCUCUGUUUUCCUUCUGAGGGCACAGGAAGGAGCAAUGGCCCCUGAAAGCUGCCAAGUUAGGACCCUACUCAGACCAGCUUCCCCGGCUGUGCUCAGAGGCGUGACCAGGGCAGGCCUCUGGAGGACUGGAGCCGCUGCCCGUCAGGUCUCAAGCACUUCCCUGCCCGGAGUGCAUUUUUUGGAACUGACCGGGAACAGCUCAGGGUCAAGGCCAAGAGGAGCCACUGGAAAAUAUGAUUUAACUAAUACACUCGUCGUUGGCUCCUUGUGUCGUGGGGCCAAGAAUCUAUAGGGCCUUCCCGGCGCAGGUUGAAAAACAUCUCCAGUGGAAGGACCUUUUCCUUGUCUGCCAGGUUUUUGAGAGUUUGGGAUCUUCCGUGGAAGAUUUUUACCCUCUUUCCUGAGGGUUCUCUACACCCUCUGCUUGGCCAUCCUCGUCCUGUGCUAGACUCGACAAAAACUCCCAGCCCAGCUUUCCAGGAAUCACCAAUUGGAAGACUUGGUCUAGUUAGCGUCGCCCCAAGAAGGGGGUGUUUCAGGCCGACUUUACGGGACUGUGGGUGUUGUCUGGGUUGGUUGGCGCUUGACGUCUGUGUCCAGAAGAGGGUGCCGGGCU